rnacentral:rRNA from 1 species
CCUACGGGGCGCAGCAGUGGGGAAUAUUGGACAAUGGGCGAAAGCCUGAUCCAGCCAUGCCGCGUGUGUGAAGAAGGCCUUCGGGUUGUAAAGCACUUUCAGUGGGGAAGAAAGCCUUGGGGCUAAUACCCUCGAGGAAGGACAUCACCCACAGAAGAAGCACCGGCUAACUCCGUGCCAGCAGCCGCGGUAAUACGGAGGGUGCGAGCGUUAAUCGGAAUUACUGGGCGUAAAGCGCGCGUAGGCGGUCUGAUAAGCCGGUUGUGAAAGCCCCGGGCUCAACCUGGGAACGGCAUCCGGAACUGUCAGGCUAGAGUGCAGGAGAGGAAGGUAGAAUUCCCGGUGUAGCGGUGAAAUGCGUAGAGAUCGGGAGGAAUACCAGUGGCGAAGGCGGCCUUCUGGACUGACACUGACGCUGAGGUGCGAAAGCGUGGGUAGCAAACAGGAUUAGAUACCCCAGUAGU